rnacentral:rRNA from 1 species
GACGAACGCUGGCGGCGUGCUUAACACAUGCAAGUCGAACGGAAAGGCCCUGCUUUUGUGGGGUGCUCGAGUGGCGAACGGGUGAGUAACACGUGAGUAACCUGCCCUUGACUUUGGGAUAACUUCAGGAAACUGGGGCUAAUACCGGAUAGGAGCUCCUGCUGCAUGGUGGGGGUUGGAAAGUUUCGGCGGUUGGGGAUGGACUCGCGGCGUAUCAGCUUGUUGGUGAGGUAGUGGCUUACCAAGGCUACGAUGGGUAGCCGGCCUGAGAGGGUGACCGGCCACAGUGGAACUGAGACACGGUCCAGACUCAUACGGGAGGCAGCAGUAGGGAAUCUUCCGCAAUGGGCGACAGCCUGACGGAGCAACGCCGCGUGAGUGAUGAAGGUCUUCGGAGCGUAAAACUCUGUUAUUAGGGAAGAAAAUAUGUGUAAGUAACUGUGCACAGCUGGACGGUACCUAAUCAGAAAGCCACGGCUAACUACGUG